rnacentral:lncRNA from 1 species
AUGAUCUAAUUGUCUUCAGGUAACUACGAGAACCGUACCGUGUACGAAUCCCUGGACAUCGGGUGGCAGUUGCUGCGUAUCUUCCCCAAGGAGCUGUUGAAACGUAUCCCGGCGUCCACGCUGGCCGAGUUCUAUCCUCGUGACUCUCGACACACCCAAGGUGGAAAGUAAAAUCAAAACAGAGCCGUAUCUAGAUCAUAGAGAAAAUAGGGAGGGUGGUGCUGCAGUGCUAAACAGUACCGUGGCCAUAUUGUGUGUGAGAUGAGACCAGUACCGUGGCCAUAUUGUGUGUGAGAUGAGACCAGUACCGUGGCCAUAUUGUGUGUUUGUGCGAUAAUAUCAGUACAUUGGCCUUAUUGAGACAAGACCAGUACCGUGGUCAUAUUGUAUGAUAGGUAGAUAAGAAAAAUGGGUCAUAUUGAAUGCUAGAUAAGAGCAGUGCCGUGGCCAUAUUGUGUGUGAGAUAAGACCAUAGCCGUGGUCAUGUUGUUGAGGUGGAGAGCCCUUUAUGGUGGCCCUAUAUAGCAGAGAAUAGGUUCUGUAAGUUCUGCGAGAUAAAUUAGUUUCCACAAGAAAAAAGGGUUCUGCGAGAGAGUAGGGUUCUGUGAGAGAAUAGGGUUUUGUGAGAGAGUAGGGUUCCGCAGCACCACCCUCAUAUUAUGUUUGUCUCCAUGUUCCUUCUUCGUUCAUCUAUUUCUAUCUUUAAGUUCAGAAUAAGUUUUGUUGUUACCUCAUUAUGUCGGCGUGAAAUGUGGACGCGUUGAAAGAAAGAAAAAAUGGGGCGGGGCUAGUUGAAAUGAGUGAGCAAAAUUUAAUGUAUCUUCAUUAUAAAUAACUUUGCAUUUUUUAAAAAAUCAGCAUUUUUCUAAAAUAAUAAUUUUUUUAAAAAAUGCUAUAAGAGUCCACUAACACUUGGUAAAACAAUUAAAAGGUAUUGAGUAUC